UUAAGCGACUAAGCGUACACGGUGGAUGCCCUGGCAGUCAGAGGCGAUGAAGGACGUGCUAAUCUGCGAUAAGCGUCGGUGAGGUGAUAUGAACCGUUAUAACCGGCGAUUUCCGAAUGGGGAAACCCAGUGUGUUUCGACACACUAUCAUUAACUGAAUCCAUAGGUUAAUGAGGCGAACCGGGGGAACUGAAACAUCUAAGUACCCCGAGGAAAAGAAAUCAACCGAGAUUCCCCCAGUAGCGGCGAGCGAACGGGGAGGAGCCCAGAGCCUGAAUCAGUGUGUGUGUUAGUGGAAGCGUCUGGAAAGGCGCGCGAUACAGGGUGACAGCCCCGUACACAAAAAUGCACACAUUGUGAGCUCGAUGAGUAGGGCGGGACACGUGGUAUCCUGUCUGAAUAUGGGGGGACCAUCCUCCAAGGCUAAAUACUCCUGACUGACCGAUAGUGAACCAGUACCGUGAGGGAAAGGCGAAAAGAACCCCGGCGAGGGGAGUGAAAAAGAACCUGAAACCGUGUACGUACAAGCAGUGGGAGCCUCUUAAUGAGGUGACUGCGUACCUUUUGUAUAAUGGGUCAGCGACUUAUAUUCUGUAGCAAGGUUAACCGAAUAGGGGAGCCGAAGGGAAACCGAGUCUUAACUGGGCGUUAAGUUGCAGGGUAUAGACCCGAAACCCGGUGAUCUAGCCAUGGGCAGGUUGAAGGUUGGGUAACACUAACUGGAGGACCGAACCGACUAAUGUUGAAAAAUUAGCGGAUGACUUGUGGCUGGGGGUGAAAGGCCAAUCAAACCGGGAGAUAGCUGGUUCUCCCCGAAAGCUAUUUAGGUAGCGCCUCGUGAAUUCAUCUCCGGGGGUAGAGCACUGUUUCGGCAAGGGGGUCAUCCCGACUUACCAACCCGAUGCAAACUGCGAAUACCGGAGAAUGUUAUCACGGGAGACACACGGCGGGUGCUAACGUCCGUCGUGAAGAGGGAAACAACCCAGACCGCCAGCUAAGGUCCCAAAGUCAUGGUUAAGUGGGAAACGAUGUGGGAAGGCCCAGACAGCCAGGAUGUUGGCUUAGAAGCAGCCAUCAUUUAAAGAAAGCGUAAUAGCUCACUGGUCGAGUCGGCCUGCGCGGAAGAUGUAACGGGGCUAAACCAUGCACCGAAGCUGCGGCAGCGACACUAUGUGUUGUUGGGUAGGGGAGCGUUCUGUAAGCCUGUGAAGGUGGCCUGUGAGGGUUGCUGGAGGUAUCAGAAGUGCGAAUGCUGACAUAAGUAACGAUAAAGCGGGUGAAAAGCCCGCUCGCCGGAAGACCAAGGGUUCCUGUCCAACGUUAAUCGGGGCAGGGUGAGUCGACCCCUAAGGCGAGGCCGAAAGGCGUAGUCGAUGGGAAACAGGUUAAUAUUCCUGUACUUGGUGUUACUGCGAAGGGGGGACGGAGAAGGCUAUGUUGGCCGGGCGACGGUUGUCCCGGUUUAAGCGUGUAGGCUGGUUUUCCAGGCAAAUCCGGAAAACCAAGGCUGAGGCGUGAUGACGAGGCACUACGGUGCUGAAGCGACAAAUGCCCUGCUUCCAGGAAAAGCCUCUAAGCAUCAGGUAACAUCAAAUCGUACCCCAAACCGACACAGGUGGUCAGGUAGAGAAUACCAAGGCGCUUGAGAGAACUCGGGUGAAGGAACUAGGCAAAAUGGUGCCGUAACUUCGGGAGAAGGCACGCUGAUAUGUAGGUGAAGCGACUUGCUCGUGGAGCUGAAAUCAGUCGAAGAUACCAGCUGGCUGCAACUGUUUAUUAAAAACACAGCACUGUGCAAACACGAAAGUGGACGUAUACGGUGUGACGCCUGCCCGGUGCCGGAAGGUUAAUUGAUGGGGUUAGCGGUAACGCGAAGCUCUUGAUCGAAGCCCCGGUAAACGGCGGCCGUAACUAUAACGGUCCUAAGGUAGCGAAAUUCCUUGUCGGGUAAGUUCCGACCUGCACGAAUGGCGUAAUGAUGGCCAGGCUGUCUCCACCCGAGACUCAGUGAAAUUGAACUCGCUGUGAAGAUGCAGUGUACCCGCGGCAAGACGGAAAGACCCCGUGAACCUUUACUAUAGCUUGACACUGAACAUUGAGCCUUGAUGUGUAGGAUAGGUGGGAGGCUUUGAAGUGUGGACGCCAGUCUGCAUGGAGCCG
rnacentral:rRNA from 1 species